GAGCUGUCUGUCUUUUCCAUCUGGGCUGCAGACAGAGCUGAGAAUGGCAGGACACAUGCUGGACUUUGGAAGCCAGCAUGCAUAGAAGAGUCUAGCCAUCCUUGCAAAAACUCAGCACAUGUCACACGCUGGGGGGCAGAACAGCCGGCGUGCUGUCUGGAGGUCUCCUCCUGGAAUGCUGGUUGCCUAGCAACAAGAU
rfam:Mustela putorius furo unplaced genomic scaffold scaffold00097, whole genome shotgun sequence.